rnacentral:sRNA from 1 species
AGUGGCUCAUUCACCCAAUUAUGUCAGCCCCGGAUCUUCCGGCUGUUGCUACAUAAAACACCGAAUGACGCACUCAAAGGUGCCUGCCGUCCAGCUUCUGAUAAGCGAUUUAUCAGCCAUCGGGCGAAACGUUGAGUAAGGCACCGCCUG